rnacentral:lncRNA from 1 species
CUGGUCUUUAUUUUCUCUCUGCUCGACAGAAAACUCUCCUCCAUUUUUUGGUUCCUUAAGGUGGCGGUUUGAAGGGGUUCUUUGCCGGUUUUCUCUCUCUCUCUCUCUUGGAAGGUGAUUUGCAAGUCGUGGAGGGCUGUUCCUGAGCCUGUAAAAUCAGCCAUAAGGAGGAGAAGAAGCUGCUGAAAGGAGGAAGCAGAAGCUGUCCAGAUUCGGCCAUAUGGGUUGUGUUAUUUCUGGUUUCGUAUUUUCUUGGUUUUGCCUUAGAA